UACGUAGGGUGCGAGCGUUAAUCGGAAUUACUGGGCGUAAAGCGUGCGCAGGCGGUUUGCUAAGACCGAUGUGAAAUCCCCGGGCUUAACCUGGGGAACUGCAUUGGUGACUGGCAGGCUAGAGUAUGGCAGAGGGGGGUAGAAUUCCACGUGUAGCAGUGAAAUGCGUAGAGAUGUGGAGGAAUACCGAUGGCGAAGGCAGCCCCCUGGGCCAAUACUGACGCUCAUGCACGAAAGCGUGGGGAGCAAACGAGG
rnacentral:rRNA from 1 species